UAAAUGCUACUUUAAUUUUUUCUUUUCUUUUUCGAACAUAUCCAACUCGUAAAAAAGAGCUACUUACAAAAUUUUUGUCGUUGCAUGUGCGUGAACGUGACGCACUCAGUUUGGUUCUCUCUUGUUACUAUCAUUACUUCUAUAAAUAGAGAGCACAACCCUUCACAAAUCACAACUACUACUCAAGCUUGUGCGAUGAAGAGAUUAAGCAACAGAUUCUUUUAUCCCCAUACCGCAGAAAACAAAAUGUCCUGCGGUGGAGGGAAGUGCUCUUGCUGUGCUGAUUCGAGCUGCAGCUGCAGCAACCGCUGCUGCGGGGGAGGAAACUGUGCAACAUGCGCCCAGGGUUCAGCGGAGGAGAGAGCUUUGCUACCAAAACCUCUCUCUCUCUCUCUCUCUCUCUCUCUCUCUCUCUCUCUCUCUAUAUAUAUAUAUAUACUCUUUUACGUGCAUGCAAUUUAUUUUUAAUUACUUACAAACCCCUGUCAAAAUUGAUAUUUACGUGACUAAUUCGACUCCGCAGGCAUGUUGAAGGGCUUGAGAUGGAGAGUGGAGGACCCAACUGCAAAUGUGGACCAAACUGCAAUUGUGACACCUUUGGCUGCUGCAAAUGAGAAAGAUAUAAAGCUCUAUAAAUAUAUAUAAGCUAUUUACGGGGCUUAUGUUUUCUAAAUACGCAUUUCUAUUUCUAAGGUUACUAUCUCAUGUAAACAUUCUCCCAAGAUGAUGACUCUUAAAUAUAAUUUAUAUUA